rnacentral:rRNA from 1 species
CUUGCUUCCGCCGACGACCGGUGCACGGGUGCGUAACGCGUAUACAAUCUACCUUAUACUGGGGUAUAGCCUUUAGAAAUGAAGAUUAACCCCCCAUAGUCUCUUAGAGUGGCAUCACUUCUAGAGUAAAGGUUACGGUAUAAGAUGAGUAUGCGUUCUAUUAGUUUGUUGGUGUGGUAACGGCACACCAAGACUACGAUAGAUAGGGGCCCUGAGAGGGGGAUCCCCCACACUGGUACUGAGACACGGACCAGACUCCUACGGGAGGCAGCAGUGAGGAAUAUUGGACAAUGGAGGCAACUCUGAUCCAGCCAUGCCGCGUGCAGGAAGACUGCCCUAUGGGUUGUAAACUGCUUUUAUACAGGAAGAAACACCUCUACGUGUAGAGGCUUGACGGUACUGUAAGAAUAAGGAUCGGCUAACUCCGUGCCAGCAGCCGCGGUAAUACGGAGGAUCCAAGCGUUAUCCGGAAUCAUUGGGUUUAAAGGGUCCGUAGGUGGAUAAUUAAGUCAGAGGUGAAAUCUUGCAGCUCAACUGUAAAAUUGCCUUUGAAACUGGUUAUCUUGAGUUAUUAUGAA